GGGCUUCAUCGGCAUUCGACGCCUCCACCUCCGCGUGACACAAGGCCUAAGGCUCCAGGCGCACAGGUAAACCCCCUCUUUUUUAUCACUAGUUUUUUUAUCUACCAAAUGACAAAAAAGAAAAUGAAACUGAAAAUCAAAAGAAGAAGAUACGAAUCGAGGAACCACCUUCAAACUUCGGUUUUUAAAAUCUCUGUUUUUGUAUUUCUUUCUUUUUUUGUAUAUUUUUCGUCACCCCUUACAAUUGAAAAUCUUUAUAGCUUUAUAGCCGAAAAUAAAAGGAAAAAUACAACAAAUUUCUUUGCUAUUGUCUUUCUCUUUGUUGUGUUGUCUUUUUCGCAUUUGUCCAUAGGUACGAAUGUAUGGAGCUCGGUGGUCGUACGGUGCUGCGCUGGCGGUGAGGACGAAGGGCUGCUUGGUGGCUACUGCGGCGCCCAGCAGAAACCCUAGGGUUCUGAGUGCUUACCGUUUUUGGGCUUGUCGGGCCGUGUAACUUUGGGCUAGGUUUUAGGUUUUUUUGGGCCUUAUUGGGUUGAUAUCACUGGGUUUUGUAACUGGAUUGAGCUUUUAAGGGACUGUUUUAAAAUUGGACUUUAUGUUUUAUUUGGUUUUAUUAUUGUUUUCUGAUUGUUGGGCUCGGGCGGAUUUCGCCCAUUACAAUCAUAGAUUUUAAACAAAAAUCUUACAUAAAUGAUAUUUACAAUUCA
rnacentral:lncRNA from 1 species